UUGGUUGACCGUUAUGGAAUAACCGUUUCACAAAUGAUAUCGGAUAUGUUCCUUACGUCGUAACUACAAUCCCCUUUCCUUUCAUGAAUUUGACCUACCGAAUUAGACUAUUUACCGGAUUAGUGAUCACAUAAGCAACACGACGGGUGCCGCUUGUGGAGCAGGAUCUGCUUACCCUUCCGGAGCACCUGAGAUCACCGCUAGUUUUUGGUGGGGUUCGUGUUGUUUAUUCUUUAGUUUUCUAUGUUGUGUCAUGUGUACUAUUGUUUUUCUGUUUGUCUUUUUCAUUUUUAGCCAUGGCGUUGUCAGUUUGUUUUAGAUUUAUGAGUCUGACUGUCCCUUUGGUAUCUUUCGUCCCUCU
rnacentral:lncRNA from 1 species